GCACCCUGCACAAUUUUUGUUUAAAUUUAAUUGUUUUUUAAAAUGACAAAAUGAAGAAUCUUUUGUUAAAUAAAAAAUUAGUUAUUUUUACUUGAUAUACUGAAAAAAAGAACAUAGCACUUUAACAUUACUCUGUGUCAGAGUGACUUAUUUUUUUGUCCUCUCUUUUGGAACACAAACCUCUGUUUCCCCUUCUACCAGAAUAAAUUAAUUUUACUUUUAUGAUGUCCAAAAAUGCUAAAUAGGUAACCUAAAAUAUUCCUCAUGUUCUAUCUUAGGAGUUUGAUAAUUGGUUUAUAUCCUUUUAAAUCGGUAACGGCUAACCUAGACACUUCAAAAAUUUGUGAACUGCAUUUCCCAUAAUUCUCAGCUAGCUUUUAGACUCUGCGUGAAGCUCAGACAGCCUUCUGAAUGGCUAACAAUCAUACAGACAUACCUCUCUAACAUAUGUACUGUCAAAGGCAGCCAUCACUGUAUUUUAAAUGUAUGGUAGUGUUCUUAAGCAGUCUGGUUUAGUAAUUAGAGGCGAUUUAAGUUAAUUGGAGAUUAAGAAACAAUAUUGGAAGCUAAUAGGGCUUUGACUAGCGGGGCAAUCAAUUUACUAAGGGACAUGUGUCCCUUUAAGUAUUAAAAGCUUAAAGGAACACUCCAAGUACCGUAACAAUUACAGCCGUUUUCUGGAGAUUAUGGUGCCAGGAAAACAGUUUAACUUACAUACUUACUAACAUACUUACCUGGGAUCCACUGGGCCCUGUCCGCCUCCUGCUCUGGAACCAGAAGUGCAUGCAUGUAACUUCCAUUUGCUCCCGUGAGCUAAGCUCAAGAUGAUCAGCUCAGUGUAGAAGGCGGUCACUAGUGUCCGCAGAACCCAGUUAUGUUGUCAAACCUUUCUUAAACCAACUGAGUAUUUAACAUGGAAAGGUUCCUGGGCACAGAACGUUGCAGUGGUUAUGGUGCUUACAGUGUUGCUUUCUGUUGGGCAGCCAUUGGGUCCCUCCAAUAUAUGAAGAGUAAAAAAGAAGCAAUGUUGUCAUCUGAUCACAAAUUCAGUUAACUUGCACCAUUUUCAUGCUUGAAGUUAACCAGCGCUGGAUGUAUGUCUAGGUAUGAAUUUGUGGAAUAGUUGUGAAGUCUGUGGUUAGCAAAUACUCUGAAGGACUAGGUAAGUUUUAAUGGUAUUAGUGCGGUCAUUAGCAGUAAUGGAUUAAUACUCUAACUUGCUUGAGUCAUUCAGAGCAUCUGCUAACCACAAGAUUGUGAGAUAAGAUGUUCACAGACUAGAGCUGGUGUGGCCCAGGACCACGGCUGGUUACGUCUGAGCAACAAAGGUGUAUUCGUUGAAAUUGAGGCCAAGUGAGGAUAGCGCCAAUUUUCCUUUUCAGACAUUAGAAGUACCAUGGAAUUACUGUUUGCCAAACUAAUGUAAGCCAUGCUGUAAUGACAAGAUUUGCUUCACCUCAACGAAAUUGCUUGAAGACCCCAGCGCCAGAGUAUAUUGUAUAAACAAAGCACCAUUUUUCUUUAUUUACAUCUUUUAAGUGGCAUUAAUAUGAUUUAUUUUACUUAUUUAUAUACUCAUAUUAUUUCAUGUGUGCCCACUUUUUUGUUUGUACUUGCUACAGUUUAACAGCCAAAUUCACUUCCGUGGUACUACUUGCUGUAUUAUGAUUAGCAGAAAGUCCUGCUUUCCUUAUCAGGUAUAGACAGUUCUCAACAGAUUAAAACUCCAGAUUACUAUGCAAUAUUCCUUAUUAAAGCUUGCAUUCCAUCACUAGAAUAUCUAUAUGGUAGUGUGUGUCUACUGAGAAAUUGUUUUACCCACGAGUUACCUCACCUGAUGUAGCAAAAGCAAAGAAGUGACUUGAGCUGCUUAAUCGGAGCAGCAAGACAUAUAACUAAAUCAAUCAAUUUGCAUCUUGUGUUUUUAAUCUCUGGAAAAUUGGUACCGGACAAAUCAAAUUGUAUAUAUGUGUAUGGGAUGCUACCAUAGGUUAUAUAAAAAUAUAUUUGUACAUUUUUCUAGAUUCCCUUAAAUCCUCAAAAUAUUUUUGGAUUUUUUUGUUAUCCUUGUAUAUGGUUGUAAAUAGUUUCAUAUAAAGGUAUAUAAUACUUUAAUACGUAAGGCAUUUCUAACUUAUUUUCUACUAAUUGUAAAGAUCAUAUAUAUUAAUUGCUUUGAUUGCCUGAUUUAUAUCAUAAAAAUUCAACAUAUGCCAGGACCAAAAAGUCAAUUACUUGCUCUGCUAAAGCUCAUCUAAAGUUAAAUUAAUUGAAUUAUAUAUACAUGCAGUUUUAGACUUUUCUAAUUUCUAUAUACAGGAGACUUUUACUAAAUAUAUAUGUUUCUGUGUGUAUGUAUAAGUGUGUAUUUCUACAUGAUAUACACCGUAGAAUUCUAAUACCUCAUUUUGUGGAUGUUUUAACAGUUCACUGAUUCUUCAUCAAUAAUACAAUUUAAGUAAAGUUAUCUAUUUUCUGUUUUAUUUCCUACUAUACAUGUACUUCACUUACAAAUAUUAAGUUAUUAAUGCCUUAACAAUAUAAUUGCAUUGUAUGUUAAAUAGUACACUAUGUUUGGAACAGUUAUGAAGUUGUCUAUUUCGUAUGUUACUCCGCAAUUUAAUGAAAGCCUAAAUGAAAGGUGCUAUUUGGUCAUCCAAAUUAUUAAAAUCUGAUUUGUGUUUUAUUAAGUCAAGGAAUAAAUGGUCAAGUGUUUCAGUCUCACGUUGACAAAGGUCUCAUGGCGAGACUGAAAUGUUGUCCAUUUAUUAGUUUGACCCAAUAAAACUGCUAAAAAGAAACCAUUGUGUGCCCAUCAGUUAUUGAAUGUUGUAACUAUUUGUUUAGUCAUUUUAAAAAAUCCAGAUACUGUUGAAAUUGAAAUCUUGAUCAGCGACCAGAUAAUCAAUGUACGAGGAUAUAAUAAGUGUGGCCCUCAUUGAGCUGAAAUUUCCAGAAUGAUAACAGUAAAAAAUCGGCGUGUUCCAUCACUUUUAUAGGUCUAUUUUUAAAAAAAAAUCUAUAUGCUCUAUUUAAUAUUAUAAAUAGAUUUUUUUAUAUUUAGGUAGAAAUUAUUAUAUUUUUUUAUAUUUCGCCUGGAGUGCCAUGCGUUUCAUUUAUAAAUAAAUAAGUAUAUAUUUAUAUCAGGGUGUUCACAGGAAAUAUUCUCUAAUUUUGAGAACUGCAGUUUCAUAGUCCCUUUGAGAGGAGCAAAACAGAUCUAUAGUUUUACAAAGUGUUUUUCAAACAGCUUUCCUAAAAGGACAGCACUUUUGAUGGAAAAAUAUGUCCUUCCUAACCUAUCCCACAAUAUGCUAUAUAAUUUAUAUUGCUCUUUAAGCUCACGUAGCUAUUGCAUAAGACUGAUUUAAAUUGAAAAGGGUGCAUGUGCAAUAUUACUGGACCUGCCUCAGCUGUAGUACAGAUGGAAAUCUAUAGCAUUUCUCUUUGCUAGAUGUCCGUACUAAAACAGUGCAAAAGAAGACCUCAUUCAUCCUAUUGACUAUAAUCUGCAGAACUAGUUAAAGUCUUCGCAUUUUAAAUGUCACGUAUUUGAGCAGUAGCCCUAGCAACUCAGCCAUACUAAAGCUUUCUCAGAAUGCAAUUUGAGAACCCAUACAAGGCUAAAAUCAAAUUGUUUACUUGUAAACGUUAACCUAAAUAAGACCAAAGAUGAAUUUGUUUUGUAAUGAUACUGUUGAUUUGAAUGAAAUGUUUACAUUGUAUGAUGUUGUUACACAUGCCUAAAUGUUAAGGUGGUGUUGUUUUUUUGUAUAUUUAAAGACACAUGCAAUUUUAUUGUUCUAAAUGCAAAAGUUAUGGUACAAAACCUGUACACUUUCACAAAUAAAAAGUAAAACUUGA